GGGGAAUUUUGGACAAUGGGCGCAAGCCUGAUCCAGCCAUGCCGCGUGUCUGAAGAAGGCCUUCGGGUUGUAAAGGACUUUUGUCAGGGAGCAAAUCCUGGUGGCUAAUAUCCACCGGGGAUGAGAGUACCUGAAGAAUAAGCACCGGCUAACUACGUGCCAGCAGCCGCGGUAAUACGUAGGGUGCAAGCGUUAAUCGGAAUUACUGGGCGUAAAGCGUGCGCAGGCGGACUUUUAAGCCAGAUGUGAAAGCCCCGAGCUUAACUUGGGAAUUGCGUUUGGAACUGGGAGUCUAGAGUCUGUCAGAGGGGGAUGGAAUUCCACGUGUAGCAGUGAAAUGCGUAGAGAUGUGGAGGAACACCGAUGGCGAAGGCAGUCCCCUGGGAUAAGACUGACGCUCAUGCACGAAAGCGUGGGGAGCAAAC
rnacentral:rRNA from 1 species